rnacentral:rRNA from 1 species
AUUGAACGCUGGCGGCAUGCCUUACACAUGCAAGUCGAACGGCAGCACGGGCGCUUGCACCUGGUGGCGAGUGGCGAACGGGUGAGUAAUAUAUCGGAACGUACCUUAUUGUGGGGGAUAACGCAGCGAAAGCUGUCUAAUACCGCAUAAUCCCUAAGGGGGAAAGCGGGGGACCGUAAGGCCUCGCGCAAUUAGAGCGGCCGAUACCUGAUUAGCUAGUUGGUGAGGUAAAGGCUCACCAAGGCAACGAUCAGUAGCUGGUCUGAGAGGACGAUCAGCCACACUGGGACUGAGACACGGCCCAGACUCCUACGGGAGGCAGCAGUGGGGAAUUUUGGACAAUGGGGGCAACCCUGAUCCAGCAAUGCCGCGUGAGUGAAGAAGGCCUUCGGGUUGUAAAGCUCUUUUGUCAGGGAAGAAACAGCAGCUCUAACACAGUUAGCGAAUGACGGUACCUGAAGAAUAAGCACCGGCUAACUACGUGCCAGCCGCCGCCGUAA